rnacentral:rRNA from 1 species
AGGUUAAGUUAACAAGGGCGCAUGGUGAAUGCCUUGGCACUAGGAGCCGAUGAAGGACGGGACUAACACCGAUAUGCUUCGGGGAGCUGUACGUAAGCUAUGAUCCGGAGAUUUCCGAAUGGGGCAACCCAGCAGUUUUAAUCAACUGUUACCACUAGAUGAAUUCAUAGUCUAGUUGGAGGUAAACGCUGUGAACUGAAACAUCUCAUUAGCAGCAGGAAUAUAAAGAAAUUUCGAUUCCCUAAGUAGCGGCGAGCGAACGGGGAACAGCCCAAACCAAAGUGCUUGCACUUUGGGGUUGUAGGACUGAACAUUUGAGUUACCAAAGAACUUGAUAGUCGAAGGAUUUGGGAAAAUCCGCCAUAGAUGGUGAUAGCCCAGUAGAUUAAAUCAAAUUCUCUCAGUUCAGGAUCCUGAGUACGGCGGAACACGUGAAAUUCCGUCGGAAUCCGGGAGGACCAUCUCCCAAGGCUAAAUACUACCUAGUGACCGAUAGUGAACCAGUACCGUGAGGGAAAGGUGAAAAGCACCCCGGGAGGGGAGUGAAAUAGUUCCUGAAACCAUGUGCCUACAAUAAGUCAGAGCGCGUUAAUGCGUGAUGGCGUGCCUUUUGUAGAAUGAACCGGCGAGUUAUGAUCCCGUGCAAGGUUAAGACUAAAAAGUCGGAGCCGUAGCGAAAGCGAGUCUGAAAUGGGCGUUUUGAGUACGAGGUUAUAGACCCGAAACCAGGUGACCUAUCCAUGUCCAGGUUGAAGGUGCGGUAAAACGCACUGGAGGACCGAACCCGUGUAAGUUGAAAAUUGCUGGGAUGAGGUGUGGAUAGCGGUGAAAUUCCAAACGAACUUGGAGAUAGCUGGUUCUCUCCGAAAUAGCUUUAGGGCUAGCCUCGGAAUUAGGAUCAUGGAGGUAGAGCACUAUUUGGACUAGGGGCCCGUCUUGGGUUACUGAAUUCAGAUAAACUCCGAAUGCCAUUGAUUCAUAUCCGGGAGUCAGACGAUGAGUGAUAAGAUCCACCGUCGAAAGGGGAACAGCCCAGACCAUCAGUUAAGGUCCCUAAAUGUAUGCUAAGUGGAAAAGGAUGUGGAGUUGCAUAGACAACUAGGAUGUUGGCUCAGAAGCAGCCACCAUUUAAAGAGUGCGUAAUAGCUCACUAGUCGAGUGAUCCUGCGCCGAAAAUGUACCGGGGCUAAGCAUACUACCGAAACCAUGGAUGCGACCAUUAGGUCGCGUGAUAGGAGAGCGUUCUAAGGGCGGUGAAGCAAGAUCGUGAGGACUUGUGGAGCGCUUAGAAGUGAGAAUGCCGGUAUGAGUAGCGAAAGAUAGGUGAGAAUCCUAUCCACCGAAUGACUAAGGUUUCCUGGGGAAGGCUCGUCCUCCCAGGGUUAGUCGGGACCUAAGUCGAGGCCGAGAGGCGUAGACGAUGGAUAACAGGUUGAGAUUCCUGUACUAGUUAAGUGCGUUUGAGCAAUGGAGGGACGCAGGAGGCUAAGAUGUGCAUUCUGUUGGAUUAGAAUGUCCAAGCAGUAAGUCUUGUGAAGAGUCAAAUGCUUUUCACUUUAAGGACAAGCUGUGAUGGGGAGCGAAAUUUAGUAGCGAAGCGUCUGAUGUCACACUGCCGAGAAAAGCUUCUAGUGAGUACUUAACUACCCGUACCGCAAACCGACACAGGUAGUCGAGGAGAGAAUCCUAAGGUGAGCGAGUGAACUCUCGUUAAGGAACUCGGCAAAAUGACCCCGUAACUUCGGGAGAAGGGGUGCUGAUCGCAAGAUCAGCCGCAGUGAAUAGGCCCAGGCGACUGUUUAUCAAAAACACAGGUCUCUGCAAAAUCGUAAGAUGACGUAUAGGGGCUGACGCCUGCCCGGUGCUGGAAGGUUAAAAGGAUGGGUUAGCUUCGGCGAAGCUCAGAAUUGAAGCCCCAGUAAACGGCGGCCGUAACUAUAACGGUCCUAAGGUAGCGAAAUUCCUUGUCGGGUAAGUUCCGACCCGCACGAAAGGCGUAACGAUCUGGGCACUGUCUCAACGAGAGACUCGGUGAAAUUAUAUUGUCCGUGAAGAUGCGGACUACCCGCGACAGGACGGAAAGACCCCAUGGAGCUUUACUGUAGCUUGAUAUUGAGUGUUUGUACAGCUUGUACAGGAUAGGUAGGAGCCAUAGAAACCGGAACGCUAGUUUCGGUGGAGGCGUUGGUGGGAUACUACCCUCGCUGUAUGACCACUCUAACCCGCACCACUAAUCGUGGUGGGAGACAGUGUCAGGUGGGCAGUUUGACUGGGGCGGUCGCCUCCUAAAAAGUAACGGAGGCGCCCAAAGGUUCCCUCAGAAUGGUUGGAAAUCAUUCGCAGAGUGUAAAGGCACAAGGGAGCUUGACUGCGAGACAGACAGGUCGAGCAGGGACGAAAGUCGGGCUUAGUGAUCCGGUGGUACCGUAUGGAAGGGCCAUCGCUCAACGGAUAAAAGCUACCCUGGGGAUAACAGGCUUAUCUCCCCCAAGAGUCCACAUCGACGGGGAGGUUUGGCACCUCGAUGUCGGCUCAUCGCAUCCUGGGGCUGUAGUCGGUCCCAAGGGUUGGGCUGUUCGCCCAUUAAAGCGGUACGCGAGCUGGGUUCAGAACGUCGUGAGACAGUUCGGUCCCUAUCCGUCGCGGGCGUAGGAAAUUUGAGAGGACCUGUCCUUAGUACGAGAGGACCGGGAUGGACAUACCUCUGGUGUACCAGUUGUGCCGCCAGGCGCAUCGCUGGGUAGCUACGUAUGGAUGUGAUAAACGCUGAAAGCAUCUAAGUGUGAAACACACCUCGAGAUGAGAUUUCCCAUUCCUUUAUGGAAGUAAGGACCCCUGAAAGAUGAUCAGGUAGAUAGGUUAGAAGUGGCAGUGCGGUGACGCAUGAAGCGGACUAAUACUAAUCGGUCGAGGACUUAACCAAG